rnacentral:lncRNA from 13 species
UCACUGCUAUACUUCUGGAAGAGCAAGGGAGAUGAAUGGUUUCACUGGCAGUCUGGCUGCUUUUGUAAUGCCUUGGAAUGCCACAGAGCUCUUGGAAACCAGAAGGGUGGCACACGGCUGCCAGAGUGUGUCUUGUGUGGACUAGGAGAAGUCAGCUGAAAUGGUAUGAUUUUCUUUCCUUUUAAAAUCAUUAUUGUAGGCAGUUAGAAAAAAACCCUCUAUAUUCUGUGUGCUGAGAUAUUGAUCUAACUUCUAAAUCCCUCUAACCUGAUUAAGGCCUUAAGAAUUUCAACUAUUGAAAAAUAAGAUUUUUUUUUCAUCUAAAUAUCUCAAGCUUAACAUCCCUAGUGCAGCCUGAGUCUUUCCCUGAGAAAU